rfam:Canis lupus familiaris chromosome 3, whole genome shotgun sequence.
AAUAUGGUUUUUCUGAAAACCAUAAAACACUGAUGAAAGAAAUUAA